AUACGGAGGAUCCGAGCGUUAUCCGGAUUUAUUGGGUUUAAAGGGUGCGCAGGCGGCCAUUUAAGUCAGCGGUUAAAUCGUGGGGCUCAACCCCAUUCUGCCGUUGAUACUGGGUGGCUUGAUUGCGGUCGAGGUUGGCGGAAUUCGUUGUGUAGCGGUGAAAUGCAUAGAUAUGACGAAGAACACCGAUUGCGUAGGCAGCUGACCAGACCGCAAAUGACGCUCAUGCACGAAAGUGCGGGGAUCGAACAGGAUUAGAUACCCUGGUAGUCCGCACAGUAAACGAUGAAUACUUGUUUUCGGCGAUAUAAUGUCGGAGGCAAAGCGAAAGCGAUAAGUAUUCCACCUGGGGAGUACGCCGGCAACGGUGAAACUCAAAUGAAUUGAUGGGG
rnacentral:rRNA from 1 species